GUAUCUUCUUCUUCCUAGCCUCCAAAAGAUCUGAUUUUUCUCAUCUCAACGCAUCACGCCGUCUCACAGGAUCUUCUCGUCUCGCCGGAUUCUCGUGCUCACCGGUCUCUGUUUCACCGGAUUCUCGUUCAUCAUGUCAUCUCGCAGGAGCUUGUUGUUUCACCACAUCACGUCGUCGCACCAGUCAUUCGUAGAUCCGUCGGUCUCUCGUCGCCUUUCCAUACCUCAUGUUUUGCUGUUGGUGUUCAUGUUGAAUUUGACGGUGCGGUAGCCACCAUCCCUUCCAUUAAUUCUCCGUUCAUCUAGCUCAUUGAUCUUCUUGGGUUUAGGACAUGAGAGAUUUUGAAAUCAAACCCCUAAGCUCCAUUUUAACAUUGAAGAGGAGCUAAGAUCAAAAACGAAGAGAGGAGCCAAGAUCAAGAACUAAUUAUAUGAGAUAGGUAGUAUAAUUAUUAUUUAGGAAGAACUUCUUUAUAUUCAGGAAGAAUUCCUUGACAUUCAAGAAGGAUUAGAUGACAUUCAUUCAUAGACAUUUAUGAUGUUUGUGAAACAUUUUUAGAAUAUUUUGGUACUUGUAUGAUGUUUUUGCAAUAUAAAAGUGUCACAAGUUUCUUUUA